CUUUCUUCUCCCUGCGUUUUCCGUGUUUUGGUUGCAGAGACUGAGGCAGAGUGGAUUCUAGCUCCACCGAUCAAAGCUUCAACGUGGAGCUUUGAUGGCUUUGUCUCAGAGCUUUGGUAAGGGUGGAAUGGUGGUGAAGAUGCGGAAUAGAAGAUGGAAACUGGAAGAAGCAGGUUGAGAGUGAUGAUUGAAGAGGAGUUCUUGGAGGAGGUUGUGGGGUUUUCUGUUAGAGGUUGGUUAGAGGUUUGCUUAGGUUGGAAGAAUGCAGGUUUGGUUAGGGUGAAGAAACUUUGGUUGAAUGGUGAUGGAGGUGGUAGAAGAAACUGGUGAAUUGUUGAAUUAUGGGAAAGAUGAUGGAAGAAACUUGGAUUGAAGAUGGAGGAUGGUUCUUAUAGGAGAGUAAGGUUAGAGAGAUGGUUGGUUAUGUCCUAGAAUCGUUCAAUUGAGGCACUUUAGGGAAUUGGUUAGAAUUUAGGGAAUUGGUUAGAGUCAGUUAUGACAAUUGGGAGGUUAGGAGUCAAUGACCAUUGGCAACAGCUGGAAUUGAUUAGGCGGUUAUGACGGGUUUUGUUAGAAGGUUGUUGAUAGUUGGAAGUUAUGAAGGGUGUUAUGAAUGAGUUGAAGGAUUCAUGAUGAUGAAUGAUGAAGAGUGAAGUUCUAUCCUCCCAAAAAAAUUGUUUGCAACAUGACAAUGGCUUGAGGUUCACGACCAAUACAAAUAGAAUAUGUUGGUUAGUGGUAUGGAUUUCGGGAUGUCCCUCAGAAGCUGCAUAAUCAGCGUGCUGUCUUUGUAAGAUUCCUCAUUGAGAGAAUCCAAAUCAACAAUGGCUACAUCAAAUGCUUGCUUGGCAC